AUUGAACGCUGGCGGCAGGCCUAACACAUGCAAGUCGAGCGAGCGGCGGACGGGUGUGUAAUGUCUGGGAAACUGCCUGCUGGAGGGGGAUAACUACUGGAAACGGUAGCUAAUACCGCAUACCAUCAGAUGUGCCCAGAUGGGAUUAGCUCGUAGGUGGGGUAACGGCUCACCUAGGCGACGAUCCCUAGCUGGUCUGAGAGGAUGACCAGACACACGGGAACUGAGACACGGUCCAGACUCCUACGGAAGGCAGCAGUGGGGAAUAUUGCACAAUGGGCGCAAGCCUGAUGCAGCCAUGCCGCGUGUGUGAAGAAGGCCUUCGGGUUGUAAAGCACUUUCAGCGGGGAGGCGUUACCCGCAGAAGAAGCACCGGCUAACUCCGUGCCAGCCGCCGCGGUAAUAC
rnacentral:rRNA from 1 species